AUGGGUGCCCCGACGUUGCCCCCUGCCUGGCAGCCCUUUCUCAAGGACCACCGCAUCUCUACAUUCAAGAACUGGCCCUUCUUGGAGGGCUGCGCCUGCACCCCGGAGCGGAUGGCCGAGGCUGGCUUCAUCCACUGCCCCACUGAGAACGAGCCAGACUUGGCCCAGUGUUUCUUCUGCUUCAAGGAGCUGGAAGGCUGGGAGCCAGAUGACGACCCCAUAGAGGAACAUAAAAAGCAUUCGUCCGGUUGCGCUUUCCUUUCUGUCAAGAAGCAGUUUGAAGAAUUAACCCUUGGUGAAUUUUUGAAACUGGACAGAGAAAGAGCCAAGAACAAAAUUGGUCUUACUCUGUCACCCAGGCUGAGUGCAGUGGUGUGAUCUUGGCUCACCUCAGCCUCGACCCCCUGGGCUCAAAUGAUUCUCCCACCUCAGCUUCCCAAGUAGCUGGGACCACAGGAGAGAGCUCUGUUAGCAGAAUGAAAAAAUUGGAAGCCAGAUUCAGGGAGGGACUGGAAGCAAAAGAAUUUCUGUUCGAGGAAGAGCCUGAUGUUUGCCAGGGUCUGUUUAACUGGACAUGAAGAGGAAGGCUCUGGACUUUCCUCCAGGAGUUUCAGGAGAAAGGCAAAGGAAACCAACAAUAAGAAGAAAGAAUUUGAGGAAACUGCGGAGAAAGUGCGCCGUGCCAUCGAGCAGCUGGCUGCCAUGGAUUGAGGCCUCUGGCCGGAGCUGCCUGGUCCCAGAGUGGCUGCACCACUUCCAGGGUUUAUUCCCUGGUGCCACCAGCCUUCCUGUGGGCCCCUUAGCAAUGUCUUAGGAAAGGAGAUCAACAUUUUCAAAUUAGAUGUUUCAACUGUGCUCUUGUUUUGUCUUGAAAGUGGCACCAGAGGUGCUUCUGCCUGUGCAGCGGGUGCUGCUGGUAACAGUGGC
rnacentral:misc_RNA from 1 species